rnacentral:ncRNA from 1 species
GGCUUAUGGCAGCCAAGAGUUCAUAGCAACGUGGCUUUUUGAUCCUUCAGUGUCGGCUCUUCCUAUCAUUGUGAAGCAGAAUUUGAAAAAAAUAAAAAAAAUUAAAAGAUGAUGAAGAGUUGGGAAGGACAUGACAGAAGCUU